GUGGGGAAUCUUGCGCAAUGGGCGAAAGCCUGACGCAGCCAUGCCGCGUGAAUGAUGAAGGUCUUAGGAUUGUAAAAUUCUUUCACCGGGGACGAUAAUGACGGUACCCGGAGAAGAAGCUCCGGCUAACUUCGUGCCUGCAGCCGCGGUAAUACGAAGGGGGCUAGCGUUGCUCGGAAUUACUGGGCGUAAAGGGCGCGUAGGCGGACAGCUUAGUCAGAGGUGAAAGCCCAGGGCUCAACUUUGGAAUUACCUUUGAUACUGGCUGUCUUGAGUUUGGGAGAGGUGAGUGGAACUCCGAGUGUAGAGGUGAAAUUCGUAGAUAUUCGGAAGAACACCAGUGGCGAAGGCGACUCACUGGCCCAAUACUGACGCUGAGGCGCGAAAGCGUGGGGAGCAAACAGGAUUAGAUACCCGAGUAGUCC
rnacentral:rRNA from 1 species